rnacentral:sRNA from 1 species
GCUGGGUACUGUGAUGCACACCUGUAAUCCCAGCAGCUGUGGAGGCUGAGGCAGGAGGAUCACAAGUUCAAAGUCAGCCUCAGCAAUGGCAAGGCACUAAGAAACUCAGUGAGACCCUGUCUCUA